rnacentral:sRNA from 12 species
UAGUAGUUCGAUGGAUUGAAAGAUGAAGAACGAGAGGCAGGGCACAAGCCUAGGUAAAAGGGAAGUCGAAUAUGGUGGAAGGAUAAUAACCCAUGGAGGUCGAGAGGUUCGACCUUAUCCUCGAAACGGCAAGAGAGGAGAUAGUGUUACCGCAAGGUAAGGCGUCAUGAAUGCGUAGGCAGCUCGUUUGUAACUCCCGGGAAUGAGUACAUUCCUUGUGUACGGGGCGAAGAGGGACUUGAAACAGUUGACGUACACCAUACA